UUAAUUUGAGAGUUUGAUCCUGGCUCAGGACGAACGCUGGCGGCGUGCCUAAUACAUGCAAGUCGAACGAACUCUGGUAUUGAUUGGUGCUUGCAUCAUGAUUUACAUUUGAGUGAGUGGCGAACUGGUGAGUAACACGUGGGAAACCUGCCCAGAAGCGGGGGAUAACACCUGGAAACAGAUGCUAAUACCGCAUAACAACUUGGACCGCAUGGUCCGAGUUUGAAAGAUGGCUUCGGCCAUCACUUUUGGAUGGUCCCGCGGCGUAUUAGCUAGAUGGUGAGGUAACGGCUCACCAUGGCAAUGAUACGUAGCCGACCUGAGAGGGUAAUCGGCCACAUUGGGACUGAGACACGGCCCAAACUCCUACGGGAGGCAGCAGUAGGGAAUCUUCCACAAUGGACGAAAGUCUGAUGGAGCAACGCCGCGUGAGUGAAGAAGGGUUUCGGCUCGUAAAACUCUGUUGUUAAAGAAGAACAUAUCUGAGAGUAACUGUUCAGGUAUUGACGGUAUUUAACCAGAAAGCCACGGCUAACUACGUGCCAGCAGCCGCGGUAAUACGUAGGUGGCAAGCGUUGUCCGGAUUUAUUGGGCGUAAAGCGAGCGCAGGCGGUUUUUUAAGUCUGAUGUGAAAGCCUUCGGCUCAACCGAAGAAGUGCAUCGGAAACUGGGAAACUUGAGUGCAGAAGAGGACAGUGGAACUCCAUGUGUAGCGGUGAAAUGCGUAGAUAUAUGGAAGAACACCAGUGGCGAAGGCGGCUGUCUGGUCUGUAACUGACGCUGAGGCUCGAAAGUAUGGGUAGCAAACAGGAUUAGAUACCCUGGUAGUCCAUACCGUAAACGAUGAAUGCUAAGUGUUGGAGGGUUUCCGCCCUUCAGUGCUGCAGCUAACGCAUUAAGCAUUCCGCCUGGGGAGUACGGCCGCAAGGCUGAAACUCAAAGGAAUUGACGGGGGCCCGCACAAGCGGUGGAGCAUGUGGUUUAAUUCGAAGCUACGCGAAGAACCUUACCAGGUCUUGACAUACUAUGCAAAUCUAAGAGAUUAGACGUUCCCUUCGGGGACAUGGAUACAGGUGGUGCAUGGUUGUCGUCAGCUCGUGUCGUGAGAUGUUGGGUUAAGUCCCGCAACGAGCGCAACCCUUAUUAUCAGUUGCCAGCAUUAAGUUGGGCACUCUGGUGAGACUGCCGGUGACAAACCGGAGGAAGGUGGGGAUGACGUCAAAUCAUCAUGCCCCUUAUGACCUGGGCUACACACGUGCUACAAUGGAUGGUACAACGAGUUGCGAACUCGCGAGAGUAAGCUAAUCUCUUAAAGCCAUUCUCAGUUCGGAUUGUAGGCUGCAACUCGCCUACAUGAAGUCGGAAUCGCUAGUAAUCGCGGAUCAGCAUGCCGCGGUGAAUACGUUCCCGGGCCUUGUACACACCGCCCGUCACACCAUGAGAGUUUGUAACACCCAAAGUCGGUGGGGUAACCUUUUAGGAACCAGCCGCCUAAGGUGGGACAGAUGAUUAGGGUGAAGUCGUAACAAGGUAGCCGUAGGAGAACCUGCGGCUGGAUCACCUCCUUUCUAAGGAA
rnacentral:rRNA from 2 species